rnacentral:rRNA from 1 species
UACGAAGGGUGCAAACGUUGCUCGGAAUCAUUGGGCGUAAAGCGCACGUAGGCGGCGCUCUAAGUCGGAUGUGAAAUCUCCCGGCUCAACUGGGAGAGGUCAUUGGAUACUGGCGGACUAGAGGGGGGUAGAGGAAAGCAGAAUUCCUGGUGUAGCGGUGAAAUGCGUAGAUAUCAGGAGGAAUACCAGUGGCGAAGGCGGCUUUCUGGGCCUACCCUGACGCUGAGGAGCGAAAGCGUGGGGAGCAAACCGG